rnacentral:rRNA from 1 species
AUUGAACGCUGGCGGCAGGCCUAACACAUGCAAGUCGAGCGAGCGGCGGACGGGUGAGGAAUGUCUGGGAAACUGCCUGUUGGAGGGGGAUAACUACUGGAAAAGGUAUCUAAUACCGCAUACCAUCAGAUUUGCCCAGAUGGGGUUAGCUGGUAGGUGGGGUAACGGCGACCCUAGGCGACGAUCCCUAGCUGGUCUGAGAGGAUGACCAGCCACCCUGGAACUGGGACACGGUCCAGAUUCCUACGGGAGGAGGAGGUGGGGAAUAUUGCACAAUGGGCGCAAGCCGGAUGCAGCCAGGCCGCGUGUGUGAAGAAGGCCUUCGGGUUGUAAAGCACUUUCAGCGGGGAGGCGUUACCUGCAGAGAAAGCACCGGCUAACUCCGUGCCAGCAGCCGCGGUAAUUC